ACAUUUGAAAGAGACAUAUUGGACAGAAAUGGCAUGCGUGAAAGCUAAGAUACAAUAUAUUUAAUUUUCUAAGAAUUCAGUUCAAGGUAAGGAAGCUGAGAUGUAGAGCUUAAGUGUCUUGCCCGAGAUCAUUUGUCUACCUAUGACCUGGCUCGGCCCAGCUACAUUUUGUUAAUAAGAGGGAAGCAUAUCAGGAAAAUCUGAGUGCAAUGGUUUAGGAAUUGGGAAAGUAUAAAAGGUGUAGCACAACAGCACUAGACAACUGAGGUAGUCACCUACCUAAGGAGAGAUGCCAAGGACAAAGUUGGCCAGCUAAGCACUUUCUCCAGAAAUGGGAUUUAUAGAUACAGUCUUGCCCUGUCACCCAGGCUGGAGUGGCAGUGGCAUGAUCUUGGCUCACUACAACCUUCGCCUCCCAGGUUCAAGAGAUUCUCCUGUCUCAGCCUCCCAAGUAGCUGAGACUACAGGUGUGUGCCACCACACCCAGUGAAUUUUUGCACCACGUUGGCCAGAUUGGUCUCCAACUCCUGACCUCAGGCGAUCAACCCACCUCGGCCCCCUAAAGUGCCGGGAUUAUAAGCGUGAGCCAUCGCACCCAGCCAAAAAUCUCCAGACUUUUAAAUUAACGUGUCUUCUAUUAUUUGAUUCCCUUCCAUCUGCUAGAAAAAAAGGGUUUGAUAUUUAUUAAUAAUUCAAUGAAGGCAUUGCUGUAAUCAGCUUAGACAACA